AGGCAAGAUGGGUGGACAGACUGGAGUAAGAUUAUACAGGUCCUGCAGUGACAUGACGACGGCGUUGUGUGCAGUAUAAAGAUAAAAAGGAACUUUGCCAAGAUGUGUCAGCCAAGGAAUGAUAGGAUCAGGUCUGAUUUUGACUCUGCAUGCCCAGUAGGGGGACAAGAAAACCACCCGACAAAGAACUCUCGGGAGUCCAUGGCCAACGAGCUCCUCUAACACCAAAUCAUCUCUACUAACACUGGCAAAAACAAUCACGGAUUAAAGAUCCAGCAUCUAUCCUACGAAGCCCACGUAACAUGAAAGCUAUGCACAAUGGAAGAAACUCAAGGAGAUGCCUGCCUUGUGACAUCGCAGUUACAUUCUGGGAGAUCUGCAUCCACACAGCCGUCCUCUGCCAUCCUCAGGGCACACAGAUCUUCUGCCACCACCAUGAAGCUUCCAACUUGCAAAAGUUAGGUCUGCAGAGCAAAAGGCUAAAUCCACAGCAAAAGGUCUGCGUGGAGAUGAAAGUUUCCCCUUGUCUGCGUAUGGAAGUAUGAAAAUGCUCACUCUAAACAAAUGUUGCAGAGGGAAAUUCUAUGAAGGAGAGGACAGAAUGCCUGCUGAGAAGGUAAGAAGAAUCUCACCUAACCCAAAGAAAAGGAAGAACAUGAAGAGCCAUUAGGAGCGGGCCAGGCUGGAUGGGGGCAGGAAAGUGAGCAGGCAGAUGUGAUGGAAGGAGGAAGACCUGAGCUGGGAAACUGUUCACCUGAAAAUAUGAUCUUCAGAAAUAACCUCUCCAUUCCCACAAGAGCACCAAAACAACACAGAAAUAUCAAAAAGCUCAACUAAGUUGUGUUCUGCCUUAAUAAAUCAGUGCGAAAAAAAACAUGGAAGAGGUUAGAGUGGUGAAUGGGAGUGACCCAUAGAAACUUGAUAUUUGAGCUGGCAGCUCAGAGUUGAAGAUGGGUGUGGGGGACUGUCAUCUAGUGUGCGUACUCUCAAAGUUCUGAUAAACAAGGAAAUGGAAAAUAAAUGUGAUGGCCGAGUGUCAUUUAGGAGGGGCUUCAAAGAGACUAUGAAUCCAUUGUGGCAUUAAGCUCUAGAACAAAUGA